rnacentral:rRNA from 1 species
UACGAAGGGGGCUAGCGUUGUUCGGAUUUACUGGGCGUAAAGCGCACGUAGGCGGAUUGGUCAGUUAGGGGUGAAAUCCUGGAGCUCAACUCCAGAACUGCCUUUAAUACUGCCAAUCUCGAGUCCGGAAGAGGUAAGUGGAACUCCUAGUGUAGAGGUGGAAUUCGUAGAUAUUAGGAAGAACACCAGUGGCGAAGGCGGCUUACUGGUCCGGUACUGACGCUGAGGUGCGAAAGCGUGGGGAGCGAACAGG